ACUCGUGUAGCUCAAUGGUAGAGCAGAGACCUCUAAAGUCUUAGGUUACCAGUUCGACUCUGGUCACGAGUA
rnacentral:tRNA from 1 species